UGUAUGGGGGGAUUGAGAGGUUAGUUAGCUAACUAGCAGCUCUACCCAAUUAGCUUUCUAGCUAUCUAUCUUGUAAAUACAUUAAAUAAAGCCAUUGCAGUUGUUUUAUGAGUAGUAAUUUCCAGAUGGAGAAAUGCCAGAUUGGUCUGUAAUAAUUAACGUUAAAUAACUGCGAUCUGUAUCUACGAUGAGGGUUUUUCGCUUUUUUCUCUGUGAGGUAGUAGACAGACUGAAACUGUCCUUUCUACAGUGGCCAACAUGGAGUGGAAAAGCGACACAAAACCAACCAGUGGCAAAAAAUAUAAGACAUUUGUAGUGAUAAGACCAUAGAGAAUGAAUAGAAAAUGUGAGGAAAUGUCACCCUGGCAUAUAGUCGUCACUAUAUUAACAACAUUACGUUUAUGUCAUGAACAUCCAAAUUAUCCAAACCAGACACUAGCAUUUUCAUUUCACUGGGUAUUCGUCUGCUCAUAUAAAACCACAAAGUUUGUUAUACCGAAUGCAGAUACCGCCCCGCAAAGUAGAUGGAGCUUGCCCACAAACUUGGAUGAUGGCGUUGUUUACUUCAAACGAACACAGUCAUCUCAGAACUUCUCUAGCAGAUGUACAGUACCAGCAAAUAUUCUGCAAGAGGUCCAGAGUUCCUACACCACUUCCAGCCGAGUCUUAUCCAGCUGGCCAUGCGUCGCAGACAGGACAAGACCAUUCGCCACAAGGAGUCUCAGCUUCCCCAGCCCACCAUGCCAAACACCAUUGCCAGUGUACCGAAGCCAGAUAAAGGACAGUGUGGCUCAGCCUAAGACCAUGUAGAACACCA